AACUUUUUAGUAUAAUUUAUUACGUGUAAUUUCCAAUUAUAAGAUCCAAGGAAAAGUUA
rnacentral:tRNA from 1 species